rnacentral:rRNA from 1 species
UACGUAGGGUGCAAGCGUUAAUCGGAAUUACUGGGCGUAAAGCGUGCGCAGGCGGUUUUGUAAGUCUGUCGUGAAAUCCCCGGGCUCAACCUGGGAAUUGCGAUGGAGACUGCAAGGCUAGAAUCUGGCAGAGGGGGGUAGAAUUCCACGUGUAGCAGUGAAAUGCGUAGAGUAUGUCGGAGGAAUACCGAUGGCGAAGG